GCCAGGCGUGGUGGUGCAUGCCUGUAAUCCCAGUGGCUCGGGAGGCUGAGGCAGGAGGAUCAUGAGUUCAAAGCCAGCCUCAGCAAUGGCAAGGCACUAAGCAACUCAAUGAGACCCUGUCUCUA
rnacentral:sRNA from 1 species